rnacentral:rRNA from 1 species
CAAUAAGCGGAGGAAAAGAAACUAACAAGGAUUCCCCUAGUAACUGCGAGUGAAGCGGGAAAAGCUCAAAUUUAAAAUCUGGCAGUCUAUGGCUGUCCGAGUUGUAAUCUAGAGAAGUGAUGCCCGCGCUGGACCGUGUACAAGUCUCCUGGAAUGGAGCGUCAUAGAGGGUGAGAAUCCCGUCUCUGACACGGACUACCAGGGCUUUGUGGUAUGCUCUCAAAGAGUCGAGUUGUUUGGGAAUGCAGCUCUAAAUGGGUGGUAAAUUCCAUCUAAAGCUAAAUAUUGGCGAGAGACCGAUAGCGAACAAGUACCGUGAGGGAAAGAUGAAAAGAACUUUGGAAAGAGAGUUAAACAGUACGUGAAAUUGCUGAAAGGGAAACGCUUGAAGUCAGUCGCGUUAGCUGGGAAUCAGCCUUGCUUGUUGCUUGGUGUACUUUCUGGUUGACGGGUCAGCAUCAAUUUUGACUGCUGGAAAAAGGCCUUGGGAAUGUGGCAGCUUUGGCUGUGUUAUAGCCCUUGGUCACAUACAGCAGUUGGGAUUGAGGAACUCAGCACGCCGCAAGGCCGGGUUUCGACCACGUUCGUGCUUAGGAUGCUGGCAUAAUGGCUUUAAGCGACCCGUCUUGAAACACGGACCAAGGAGUCUAACAUGCCUGCGAGUGUUUGGGUGGUAAACCCUUGCGCGUAAUGAAAGUGAAAGUUGAGAUCCCUGUCGUGGGGAGCAUCGACGCCCGGACUUGAACUUUUGUGACGGAUCCGCGGUAGAGCAUGUAUGUUGGGACCCGAAAGAUGGUGAACUAUGCCUGAAUAGGGUGAAGCCAGAGGAAACUCUGGUGGAGGCUCGUAGCGAUUCUGACGUGCAAAUCGAUCGUCAAAUUUGGGUAUAGGGGCGA